rnacentral:rRNA from 1 species
AAGGAUGUGGCAUUUCAUAAACAACCAGGAUGUUGGCUCAGAAGCAGCCACCAUUUAAAGAGUGCGUAAUAGCUCACUGGUCGAGAGACGCUGCGCCGAAAAUGUCCGGGGCUCAAGCACGGAACCGAAGCUAUGGCAUGAUAGCAAUAUCAUGGGUAGGGGAGCGUUCUUAUAAGGAAGAAGCAUGACCGGAAGGACAUGUGGACAAAUAAGAAGUGAGAAUGCCGGUAUGAGUAUCGAAAAGAAAGGUGAGAAUCCUUUCCACCGAAAGCCCGAGGGUUCCUGAGCAACGAUCGUCGACUCAGGGUAAGUCGGGACCUAAGCCGAGGCGAAAAGCGUAGGCGAUGGACAACAGGUUGAAAUUCCUGUACCGGAUCAAGUCGAUUGAGCGAAGGAGCGACGCAGGAGGGCACAUGAUCGCGCGGCUGGAAGAGCGCGUCCAAGUGCGUAUGUUGCAGCAGAGGAAAACCCCUGCGGCUGAAAGCAGAGACAUGAUGGGGAGUUAAAGGAAACUUUGACGAACUCAUGAAUCCCACACUGCCAAGAAAAACUUCUAGCGAGACAAGAUCCGCCCGUACCGUAAACCGACACAGGUAGGCGGGGAGAGAAUCCUAAGGUGCGCGGGAAAACCCUCGUUAAGGAACUCGGCAAAUUGCAUCCGUAACCUAGGGAGAAGGAUGGCCCCCGGUCAGUGAAGAGCAGAAACGCUCAGAGCUAAAAGGGGCGGCAGAAAAGAGGCCCAAGCAACUGUUUACCAAAAACACAGGUGCCUGCGAAAGCGAAAGCUGAAGUAUAGGUGCUGACGCCUGCCCGGUGCCGGAAGGUUAAGGAGAGAAGUUAGCGAAAGCGAAGCAUCGAACUGAAGCCCCGGUGAACGGCGGCCGUAACUAUAACGGUCCUAAGGUAGCGAAAUUCCUUGUCGGGUAAGUUCCGACCCGCAUGAAAGGCGUAAUGAUUUGGGCACUGUCUCAACGAGGGGCCCGGUGAAAUUGAAAUACCUGUGAAGAUGCAGGUUACCCGCGACUGGACAGAAAGACCCCAUGGAGCUUCACUGCAGCUUGAGAUUGAAUCCCGGUGACAGAUGCACAGGAUAGGUGGGAGGCGCCGAAGCAUUGCCCUAGGGCGGUGCGGAGCCGAUGUUGGGAUACCACCCUUCUGUUGCUGAGAUUCUAACGCGAGGAGUAACGACCCUGCGGACCCUCUCAGGCAGGCGGUUUGACUGGGGCGGUCGCCUCCGAAAGAGUAACGGAGGCGCCCAAAGGUUCCCUCAGGCCGGACAGAAACCGGCCGAAGAGUGCAAAGGCAGAAGGGAGCUUGACUGCGAGACCAACAAGUCGAGCAGAGACGAAAGUCGGGCUUAGUGAUCCGGUGGUACUGAGUGGAAAGGCCAUCGCUCAACGGAUAAAAGCUACCCUGGGGAUAACAGGCUAAUCUCUCCCAAGAGUUCAUAUCGACGGGGAGGUUUGGCACCUCGAUGUCGGCUCAUCACAUCCUGGGGCUGGAGUAGGUCCCAAGGGUUGGGCUGUUCGCCCAUUAAAGUGGUACGCGAGCUGGGUUCAAAACGUCGUGAGACAGUUUGGUUCAUAUCCAUCGCGGGCGCAAGAAGUUUGAGAGGAGCUGCUCCUAGUACGAGAGGACCGGAGUGGACGGAUCAACGGUGUCCCAGUUGUCACGCCAGUGGCACGGCUGGAAAGCCGCAUCCGGGAAGGAUAAACGCUGAAAGCAUCUAAGCGUGAAGCCAACCUCAAGAUGAGACUUCUCAUCAGCAAUGAGUAAGACCCCUUACAGACGAUGAGGUAGAUAGGUUAUGAGUGGAAGAGCCGCAAGGCUUGGAGCGACAUAAAACUAAUAGGUCGAGGUCUUAACUUA